rnacentral:rRNA from 1 species
UUGUUGGUAAGGUAAAAGCUUACCAAGGCUUCGAUCAGUAGCUGGUCUGAGAGGACGACCAGCCACACUGGGACUGAGACACGGCCCAGACUCCUACGGGAGGCAGCAGUGGGGAAUUUUGGACAAUGGGGGAAACCCUGAUCCAGCCAUGCCGCGUGAGUGAAGAAGGCCUUCGGGUUGUAAAGCUCUUUCAGCCGGAACGAAACGGUUACGGAUAAUACCCGUGACUACUGACGGUACCGGAAGAAGAAGCACCGGCUAACUACGUGCCAGCAGCCGCGGUAAUACGUAGGGUGCGAGCGUUAAUCGGAAUUACUGGGCGUAAAGCGUGCGCAGGUGGUUUUGUAAGUCAGAUGUGAAAGCCCCGGGCUCAACCUGGGAACUGCGUUUGAAACUACAAGACUAGAGUGUGGCAGAGGGGGGUGGAAUUCCGCGUGUAGCAGUGAAAUGCGUAGAGAUGUGGAGGAACACCGAUGGCGAAGGCAGCCCCCUGGGUUAACACUGACACUCAGGCACGAAAGCAUGGGGAGCAAACAGGAUUAGAUACCCUGGUAGUCCAUGCCCUAAACGAUGUCAACUAGUUGUCGGGCCUUUACGGGCUUGGUGACGUAGCUAACGCGUGAAGUUGACCGCCUGGGGAGUACGAUCGCAAGAUUAAAACUCAAAUGAAUUGACGGGGACCCGCACAAGCGGUGGAUUAUGUGGAUUAAUUCGAUGCAACGCGAAAAACCUUACCUACCCUUGACAUGUAUCGAAGCCCGCAGAAAAGCGGGGGUGCCCGAAAGGGAACGAUAACACAGGUGCUGCAUGGCUGUCGUCAGCUCGUGUCGUGAGAUGUUGGGUUAAGUCCCGCAACGAGCGCAACCCUUGUCAUUAAUUGCCAUCAUUUAGUUGGGCACUUUAAUGAGACUGCCGG